AAGUUGCACCAGGGGUGCCUGUAUUCUCAACGAUCUGAAGGCCUCUUGGCCUGGAUUGUUGUGAAUUGGGCUGAGAAAGUCCCUUUGAACCUGAACAGGAUAAUGCCUGCGAAGGGAGUGUGCAUUUCUACUUUU
rfam:Oryza sativa Japonica Group DNA, chromosome 3, cultivar: Nipponbare, complete sequence.